rnacentral:rRNA from 1 species
CAGUAGCCGCGGUAAUACGGAGGGUGCAAGCGUUAAUCGGAAUUACUGGGCGUAAAGCGUGCGUAGGCGGUUCGUUAAGUCUGUUGUGAAAGCCCCGGGCUCAACCUGGGAAUGGCAAUGGAUACUGGCGAGCUAGAGUGUGUCAGAGGAUGGUGGAAUUCCCGGUGUAGCGGUGAAAUGCGUAGAGAUCGGGAGGAACGUCAGUGGCGAAGGCGGCCAUCUGGGACAACACUGACGCUGAGGCACGAAAGCGUGGGGAGCAAACAGGAUUAGAUACCCCAGUAGUCCCUGUCUCUUAUAC